AUAAAAUCUGAUUUAAGAAGACGUGUUUUGUUUAUUCCACAUAUGAACUCCAAAAGGCUAAGUAUAAAACCAAGCAGAAGUCUCUCUAUGCUAAUAGGCACGUGAAAUCAUAUAAAAUAUCAAAUAAAAUAAUAUGCUUUAUUAAGUAUUUACCUCCAUUUGCUACUUAUUUUCUCGUAGUCACUCUUUCAAAGGUCUUGACAAUCUAUCCAUACCAUCACUUCAGUGAGAAAAGCAUCCUGGACCAUAGGCACCAGACUAUCAUAACAACAAUUCUUUGCUGCAAUUAUCAUUAAAGUAUUAAUAGAAGUAAAGCAAGAUUAGAAGAAAGUUUAUCAAGUUUUGUCAAGGCAGGGAUGGAUAAUCCUCUUUUCCUCAAUGUUUAGGCCAUCGAUGGUUAUUUUUAUAAGCCUUGGAUAUACUAGCUCCUGAGGCUUCCAUAGCAUUAAUGCAAUCACAGGUCUUUUCUUAGAAUGAUAAUUCUUACCUCCUUACUGUACAAUUUGACUGCCAUGUCUAUGAAUUGAUCUUCGCAAGUGUUUUAUCCUGGAAGGUAAACAAAUACCUUAAUGCACAAAAUAAAAGGGCAAACCAUGAACAUCAGAAAUGAAAACUACUGUUGGUGGUGGCCUUGUUGGUAACAGUGAUAUCAAGGAUUUCGAACAUUUGGGACAAUUCACUGCCAAAUAUCGACCCCCUUUUCUCCGCUAGCAAUAGCAAUAGCAAUAGCAAUGCUCCAUCGGACCUCACAACUGAGCUUGCUAUUCAGGUGAGCAUCAAUAUGUUCUACUCAAUUUUACCUCAUUUGGUUACAAAGUAGUUCAAUAUAUGCAGUCAAUAAAAUUCAUUGAGACAUUUUUGUAAGUAUAAUUUGUUAUGUGAUUGCCAAAGAAGGAAUAUUAUGCGAAUUUAAAAGUUUUUGCUUCGUAAAAAGCGACAAUGAACACUUAGCUUAGUCUCAUGCUUGUUAAAUUGUCGUUAUAUGAGUCAAUUAGCCGACUCCAAAUUUAUUGGGAACAAGGUUUAAUUUGUUAUUACAUCCGUUCAUUGUUUCAUCAUUUGGUUCUAUUUCCAGUUAGGCAAUCAACGUUUAAGUAAUUUGUACUUCAUUUACAUUUCAUCUGCCUUUACAUUUUACUUUUAACUUGCGUUAGUCCUUAUUGCAUAUCAGGUAGUAGGAGUGUGACGCAAAGCAGAGACACUCAAUCAAAACAUCGGUUGUAAUAGUCCCCCGAAUUGGAAAAGCAAAUAAUAUUCUCCAACCAAGUGAUAUCUUGGAGCUGAAACUCUCAUAAAGUUGCUGAAGGACUAUUCAAGAAGCCAUGAGGUUCUUCAUUUUUCUUUUCAGUCUUUGUGCAUUUUUUACUUGUAGUAUGGCUGCCUACGUAUUCUCCUAUAUUUUCUAAUUUUUUUGUUUGAAGUAUUUUGUUCCAUAACUUCCUUUGCCCAAUUUAUUGCAAAUUUUCGUUGCUGGGUUUAAUUCGGAUUAUCAAUGCCUACA
rnacentral:lncRNA from 1 species